rnacentral:rRNA from 1 species
CUACUCUGGUGCUCUAUGCUUGAAUGGAACCACACCAAUCCAUCCCGAACUUGGUGGUGAAACGUUCAAGGGAUUGACAAACUUAUCGGAAGUCUGAUAGGAAAACUCAAUUUAGUGCCAGGGUG